rnacentral:rRNA from 1 species
UCGAUGUUGGAUUNGGANUCUUAUUUAAUGAAGAUGUUAAAUAAAGAAGUUUGUUCNACUUUUAAAUUCCNNACAUGAUCUGAGUUUAGACCGAUGAGAAUCAGGUUGGUUUCUAUCUUAAUUUNNAAUUAAGUUUUAGCUAGUACGAAAGGAAUUCUAAAAAUUAAUUAUUAAAAUAAUAAAUUUUAUUUGCAUCAUUUUUUGGAAUU